rnacentral:tRNA from 1 species
GGGCGGGUGCUGUAAUUGGUAGCCAGCUUGGAUUGAGGUUCCAAGGGGAAAUUUCCCGUGAGGGUUCAAGUCCCUCCCCGCUCA